rnacentral:lncRNA from 1 species
GAUGAGCUGAGGUCAUGCUGGACCACUAGAACGCAGCAAGAGCAGCUGAGCCCAGUGCUCUUGUCUCUAUUACGUGGAACAUUAGGGAGAGGGAGAUGAACGAGGCCAUACUAUUGCAAUCACUUGGGAAAAAAAUACAAAAUUUUCUGAAAAUACAAGAUGCUUUCUACUGCCACCAGACUUCCUUUGGAAGUUUUCCUACCGCUUAAUAACUAGGAACUUGUUGGCAUCUGACAGAGCAUCUCAGAUUUCUUAUGUAAAAUGUGGAAUUGUCAACAGUCAGAUGCUUCAAUGGCCAAGACUGUGGUGUGCAGUUUCUAUCAGCGUGUACAGGACAUCCUGCCUGGUUUUGGCCUCAAGAGCUGCCAUUGAUGGACACAGAGGGUGUUAAAACCCAGAGCACAUAAGCCAGGAUGAGAAAAUUAAUCAGAAGAUAAAAGACAGCGGGCUUUGGGGACCCUGGCCGAGCCCUCCUGCAUGCUCCUGGGACAUCCUUUCAGACCAGCAGCACCAUCCCAUGCAGGGGCUGUGACAGAUGACUUAUAAUGUAGACAUCACCUCUGCUGGUGGACAGCCUUCGGAUUUGCUGAGUCCUUUCAUAACAAAUAAAACCAAACACGACA